AAAGGUUUUAGGCUGGUUUGACUCCAUCAGUGGCUCUGCCCCCAGCAGAGCCUUGGGGCUGUCCCAGGGCUGGUUUGGGGUCAGGUUUGGGGUCUGGGCUGUCCCAGGGCUGGUUUGGGGUCUGGGCUGUCCCAGGGCUGUUUUGGGAUCAAGUUUGGGAUCUGUGGGUCAACCCUGCCCCUUUGUGCCCCCCUGAGCAUUCCCAGCUCCGUGACCUUUGAGCACCAUGGAUGGGUCUGGGCCCUGCCCUGUCCCCAGGGUCCCCCCAGCUCGUGUCCCCCGAGCUCCCAGCUCAGCUUUUCCCCCCAAAAUGCCAGGGCUGGGAUGCAGGAAUUGCGUGUUCAGGAGCCUCCCAGAGCCAGGCUCUCAACUUCACACCAAAGCAAUGUAGCAGAAUCUGUACAGCUGUUAAUAACUACCACUGGUUUUUGUAAAAAAGGGCCAAAAAGAGAAAAAAAAAAAGAAUAAAAAGUCAAUGUACUGAAGCUGAA